GACGGUUAAAGUACAUUAUCCUAAUCAAGAGUUCUCGACUUUUCCUAAUCCUUGUGCUAACUACCCUAAUUACUCUGGGGGAGUACCAAGCAGCUAUGGACCAAACAAGAUUGGAGCAAUCAAGGUCGGUGAUUGGGGCGCCAACGUCGGCAACCAAUGGGACAUGGGGCCAGUGAACAAGAUCACAAGCAUCAAGAUCCAUUCUGGGGCCGUUGUAGACUCGAUCGAAUUUACUUACUUGAUGAACGCAUCCAUCCAAUCAACUCCAAGAUAUGGUGGACGGGGCGGUAACCCAGUGCAAAUUGAUCUCAAAGAGGGAGAGUACCUGAGCUGCAUGAGAGGCUACAUAAUUUUAAACUACCUGGGAUUGCCUUGCAUAAGCCAAAUCAUAUUUGAGACCAACUUAGGGAAUU